rnacentral:misc_RNA from 1 species
UCCGGGUUGGACCCGGCGGUCCCGCCAGACAUGGUAACUGGCAGCGAGGGUUGCGCUCGUUGCGGGACUUAACCCAACACCUCACGGCACGAGCUGACGACAGCCAUGCACCACCUAUCACAGGCCCCGAAGGACACCGUAUCUCUACGGCUUUCCCUACAUGUCAAACCCAGGUAAGGUUCUUCGCGUAACAUCGAAUUAAGCAACACGCUCCGCUGCUUGUGCGAGCCCCCGUCAAUUCCUUUGAGUUUUAGCCUUGCGGCCGUACUCCCCAGGCGGGGCACUUAAUGCGUUAGCGACGGCGCGGAUCUCGUUGGUUGAGACCCACACCUAGUGCCCAACGUUUACGGCGUGGACUAC